GAUGAACGCUGGCGGCGUGCUUAACACAUGCAAGUCGAACGAGAAGUGAAGACGGAAACCUUCGGGCGGAAGGCUUUAUUUCGAGUGGCGGACGGGUGAGUAACUCGUUGGUAACCUGCGUCAUUCAGGCGGGUAACAGUUUGAAACGACUGUUAAUACCGCAUAAGACCACAGCCCCGCAUGGUGCGGUGGUAAACACUCCGGAGGUAUGAGAUGGACCCGCGUUCGAUUAGCCAGUUGGCGGGGUAACGGCCCACCAAAGCGACGAUCGAUAGCCGAUCUGAGAGGAUGACCGGCCACAUUGGGACUGAGACACGGCCCAAACUCCUACGGGAGGCAGCAGUGGGGAAUAUUGCACAAUGGGGGAAACCCUGAUGCAGCGACGCCGCGUGAGUGAAGAAGUAUUUCGGGAUGUAAAGCUCUAUCAGCAGGGAAGAAAAUGACGGUACCGGAGGAAGAAGCCCCGGCUAACUACGUG
rnacentral:rRNA from 1 species